rnacentral:rRNA from 1 species
CCCUUAGAUGUUCUGGGCCGCACGCGCGCUACACUGACGAUGGCAACGAGUUUUUCCUUCGCCGAAAGGUGUGGGUAAUCUUUUGAAACAUCGUCGUGCUGGGGAUAGAUCAUUGCAAUUUUUGAUCUUGAACGAGGAAUUCCUAGUAAGCGCGAGUCAUCAGCUCGCGUUGAUUACGUCCCUGCCCUUUGUACACACCGCCCGUCGCUACUACCGAUUGGAUGGCUUAGUGAGACCCUCGGACCGAUAGACUGUUGCUGCAGCAAUGUGGCGACUGGUCCGUCUGGGAAGAAGGUCAAACUUGACUGUCUAGAGGAAGUAAAAGUCGUAACA